UGCUCAGCGAGGAUCCAGAUCCACAGCCCUGGGAUGAUGACCUGCGCUGAAAUCGAGAGUCGGAUGCUCGACCAAGUGAGCCACCCAGGUGCCUCUCACAGCACCUUUUUGGAUGAAAUGAUUAAGGCAAAGGAACCCAAAGUAUAGCCACACUGCUCUGCAUCACCCUAGGCCGCUAGCUUCACGAGGACAUGUACCACCCCUGCUUUAGUCCGUCAUUAUGAUGCCAGCACCUGUCACGAUGCCUGACAUGGCUUCUGGAAUCCCCCUGGACUCAAAAAGCCUUCGAGAAAACAAAAGUGGAACCGAUGGACAGUAGAGCACCGCGGCUGAGGGCCAGCUCACCAGCACUGCGAGGCAGAGCCACUGUCCAGGGACCGCACGGUGCUGAGAUCCGUGGCUUGCUGGGCUGAAGGAGAAGCACCCACUAAUUGGUUCAGACCACAAAGGUCAACCCCACGAGCAUCCAGUAAGACAGGCACGAUGAAAGCCACACAAGCCGGGAGAGAAGAAAGUAGCUGUGGUGAGUGGGGCUGGGUGUGAUUAGAAGUGCCAA